UACGUAGGGGGCUAGCGUUGCCCGGAAUCACUGGGCGUAAAGGGCGUGUAGGCGGUUUUUUAAGUCUGGUGUGAAAUCUCCCGGCUCAACCGGGAGGGUGCGCCGAAAACUGGGAGACUAGAGGGCGGGAUGGGAGAGUAGAAUUCCUGGUGUAGCGGUGAAAUGCGUAGAUAUCAGGAGGAACACCGGUGGCGAAGGCGGGUCUCUGGGCCAUAACUGACGCUGAGAAGCGAAAGCAUGGGGAGCGAACAGG
rnacentral:rRNA from 1 species